rnacentral:rRNA from 1 species
GGUGGGGUGACUGCGUACCUUUUGUAUAAUGGGUCAGCGACUUAUAUUCUGUAGCAAGGUUAACCGAAUAGGGGAGCCGGAGGGAAACCGAGUCUUAAUUGGGCGUUAAGUUGCAGGGUAUAGACCCGAAACCCGGUGAUCUAGCCAUGGGCAGGUUGAAGGUUGGGUAACACUAACUGGAGGACCGAACCGACUAAUGUUGAAAAAUUAGCGGAUGACCUGUGGCUGGGGGUGAAAGGCCAAUCAAACCGGGAGAUAGCUGGUUCUCCCCGAAAGCUAUUUAGGUAGCGCCUCGUGAAUUCAUCUCCGGGGGUAGAGCACUGUUUCGGCUAGGGGGCCAUCCCGGCUUACCAACCCGAUGCAAACUGCGAAUACCGGAGAAUGUUAUCACGGGAGACACACGGCGGGUGCUAACGUCCGUCGUGAAGAGGGAAACAACCCAGACCGCCAGCUAAGGUCCCAAAGUCAUGGUUAAGUGGGAAACGAUGUGGGAAGGCCCAGACAGCCAGGAUGUUGGCUUAGAAGCAGCCAUCAUUUAAAGAAAGCGUAAUAGCUCACUGGUCGAGUCGGCCUGCGCGGAAGAUGUAACGGGGCUAAACCAUGCACCGAAGCUGCGGCAGCGAACGUAUCACCCAAGACAACUUUACGGAGUUGACGAUUGACGGAGCGAAGCGACGUCAAAGCGUUCAUUAAAGUCGAGUUGGCUUAGGGAUACGUUCGUUGGGUAGGGGAGCGUUCUGUAAGCCUGUGAAGGUGUGUCGUGAGGCAUGCUGGAGGUAUCAGAAGUGCGAAUGCUGACAUAAGUAACGAUAAAGCGGGUGAAAAGCCCGCUCGCCGGAAGACCAAGGGUUCCUGUCCAACGUUAAUCGGGGCAGGGUGAGUCGACCCCUAAGGCGAGGCCGAAAGGCGUAGUCGAUGGGAAACGGGUUAAUAUUCCCGUACUUGGUGUUACUGCGAAGGGGGGACGGAGAAGGCUAUGUUGGCCGGGCGACGGUUGUCCCGGUUUAAGCGUGUAGGUGUGUGUUCCAGGUAAAUCCGGUUCACUUUAACAC